AUUGAACGCUGGCGGCAUGCUUUACACAUGCAAGUCGAACGGCAGCGCGGGCUUCGGCCUGGCGGCGAGUGGCGAACGGGUGAGUAAUACAUCGGAACGUGCCCAGUAGUGGGGGAUAGCUCGGCGAAAGCCGGAUUAAUACCGCAUACGACCUGAGGGUGAAAGCGGGGGAUCUUCGGACCUCGCGCUAUUGGAGCGGCCGAUGGCAGAUUAGCUAGUUGGUGGGGUAAAGGCCUACCAAGGCGACGAUCUGUAGCUGGUCUGAGAGGACGACCAGCCACACUGGGACUGAGACACGGCCUAGACUCCUACGGGAGGCAGCAGUGGGGAAUUUUGGACAAUGGGCGAAAGCCUGAUCCAGCAAUGCCGCGUGUGUGAUGAAGGCCUUCGGGUUGUAAAGCACUUUUGGCGGGAACGAAAAGGACUGUGCCAAUACCACGGUUCGAUGACGGUACCCGCAGAAUAAGCACCGGCUAACUACGUG
rnacentral:rRNA from 1 species